rnacentral:lncRNA from 1 species
UGUGCAUUAAGCAAUCAGAAACAAGAGAAAGACAUAAAAAGAUGCCAAGUAAUUGGAUAGAAUGCUAGAGAUAUUUGUCUUUCCUGGUAAAAAGGGUUUUUCAGUAAAUAUGAGUGUUUAAUAACAGCCCUAUCAGCAGUGAUUUAUAGUGAAUGAAGUUUAGCUGACUACCAAAGACAAUUUAUUUCCAAGAAAACUGAUAUUAUAUUCUAAGUAGUAUGCAUCCUGCUCUAUAAUAUGAUAUACAUGGAAUACACAAACAUGAUCUUAUUCACUCUCGUAGGUUUUGAGGACUGAUCAUUUUUCACUCCCUCCACCCCAAAUAUUGGGAGUCAAACCCAGAGAUUUGCAUGUGUCAGGUAAUUGCUGUAUCACAGAGAUACACCUUAGCCCAGAACUGAUCAUUUUUAUGGUUGUUGAACAUAUACUUUUCAUUCAACAUAAAAAAAUAGUAUUAAGGCAGAACCCCUUAAAUCUUAAAGCCAACAUUUCAGUAGACCAAGGAACCAAAUAACCAGAUGAAUUAAAUUUUUAAAAAAUCAGUUAGAAAUAGGUUUUAUAGGAUUAUUAAAAUAGAAUAAUAUGACAAUCUCUUCAUAUUGGAAGGUUAAACUUUCCUAAGGAGAAGUCAUUUAAACUGAUGUCUGAAAGACAAGAAUGUUGGAGAUUCAAAAUUUUAAAGGUUUGUUCUCUGUGAGUCAGGGAGAAAUUCUAAGAAUUUUUCUCUAUAAAUAUCUCUAUUUUCCUCUGGAAAAAUUAAUUGGUAGAAUUACAUAGUUUCAUAUUAUCAUUUGUUCUCCACUAUUUUAUUUUAAGCCUGAUCUAUAUAAGCAAAAUAGAUCAUUUCUUUCUUCAGAGGAAGUCCACACAAGGCACUAUGAAUAGGCUGAGAACUUGAUAUUUCCCUGCCCCUGAUUUGAUCUCAGGGUUUUCUUCACCUGUACUUAACUUCUAACCCCACAUAUAAAGUGCCUAGCAGUGCUUCAAGCAACUUUCUGAAGAGAUUUUUAUCCAUUUGGUAAAAGCAAAAGCUAGGUAAAAGAAUAUAAUUAUAUAAUAAGCGUUGUCAAAUCUGGUAGCCUAUUCAAGUCAUGUAGGAUACUUUUAUAAAUUUCUGAUACCAGGUUAUAUAAAUUAAAUUAGAGCUUCUGAGGGGUGGGCCCCAAAUUCCAGGAAUAAAUGUCAUUAUAGGUGAUUUAUCUAGCAUCGAUAACCAUUCUCCAGUCCAGAAAAUUGUAUUCAAUAUAAUUUACAAUACCAUUACAUGCUACUUUCUUUGUAGAAAAUAAAAACAUCACAAUAGAAUUUAUGAAUUAUUUUUUCAGGUGAAUAUUAUGCAUGUUAAAGAUGGUUAAAAUAACCAAACCCAAGUGGAAUAAUCCAAAUCUGAACCAGUUGAGGAAUAAACAAAAUAAAGAAUAGUCAUUUAAUUCCUUUAGUUUCAUUAAUUAUAUUUGCCAGUAAAAAAAAAUGAAAUACUUAUGUAUCCUAAAGUACAAAUAAUAAACCUGGAACAUAUUAUCUUUAGUGUAAAAAGACAAUCACUAAAGACUACAUAUUAUAUUGUUGCAUUUAUUUUCAAUGUCCAGGAAAGGCAAACCUUUGAAGAUAAAUAGCAGAUUAUGGUUGCCUGAUGCUCUACAUGGGGUGGAGAAAGGGAAUGAUCUCCUGUGAGCACAAAUGAUCCAUUUGGGAUAAUGUAAGUUCUAAAAAGAAUUUUUUUACACAAUUCUAUAAAUAUACCGAAAAUCAGCAUUAUAUUUUUCUGGCCAUCAAAGGAUCUCCUUCAUGUAAAUGAUGAACAGUUUUAAAUAAAAGGCAUUUUCAUAUUUUUGGUUUUAAAUUAUUUUAAGGUAUUACUGUCAUAGAAACUAUAAGUACUAGUUUACAUUUCACUAGUAUUUUUCUCAUUAAAGUUCUAAAGGUAAAAUUAAUAAAAAUUGGGACACAUGAAUACUAAUACCACCUAAGCAAAUUAAAAAUCGGUGAUCAUUAUAAAACACUACUAUAAACUAUGAUAAAAAUGAGGCUAAAUUUCAUCUAUAAUACAAUGACAAAAUAUACAGAUUUAAAACUAUUCUGGUUCCUAUUCAUUUUCCAUAUAUGUUAAUUUUACAUUUUUGUGGUUGUGAGAUGAGUUUUCUAAAUCUAAUUUAUAUUAUAUGAAGUCAGAAUUUCAAUUAUAGUAUUAAUUGUUCAAAAAAGGGAUAAAAUCAACUCAGAAAGUCACUAAAUGAUUUACUGAUUAUUAAUUUCUCAUCUAUUUCUGCACUAUUGAAAGAUUUGUGCAAGAUCUAAGUAUUUCAGCUCUAAAUAUACAUAACGAUAGAAUAGAAUAAGCUAUAAGAGAGCAAGCAAAUUUUAUUUGUAAGGGAAGAAAUAUAAGAAAACUGUUGCAAAAAUGCAGUAAAUGUGUGUUAAUGCGUUAAACAUUGUAGUAAAAAAUUAAAAGAUCAAGUUAAUGGGCAUAAUCCAAUGUACUGUGGGCUAAUAGAGACCUAUCUCACAUUAAAGACCUAAAGACCAGCACAGUACUGCUCUUCUCAAUCCAUGGCUAAGAUUAGAGAUGAGUGAUUAGCUGUAGACUUUGACUAAAGAAUAUUUGUGAUUUUUUUUAACAUAGAGAAUGAUUUGUGAUAACAAAGCUAAUUUAUGCAGAAAAAUUUUUAAUAUGUUAUAUGGAAGACAUUUUUUAUGAUAUAUUCCUGGGGUUAAUUAUCUUUGUAAUAUACAUUCAAAUAUCACUUAGAGUAAAUAUUUAAUGAUUAGGAAGUCUACAGAUUCAUUAUGUAUAUGAGAUUUUGCACUCUGAUUAUUUCUGAGAUUGUAUUUAGAAAGUUAAGGCAAUAGUGAGAUUAAAUAUCACAUUACAUAUGAUCCAAGGUUAGGAUUCUUGAAAGAAAAUUUGUGAUUUGUUCAAUUUUGAAUCUCAAAUACAGGUUAGCAUAUUACUUGUACAAAUGUAUUUUUUCUUUAUUGUCUUGAAAUUACCUUCUUUGAGAAUAAUUGUUCAUAAAAGUGCUUUUAACCUGCAAAUUUCUGUUUUUCUAUUAAUUAAAUCAGUAGGUAAGCAUCUGCUAACAGCAUUUUUUUAAUCACAUUCUGGCUAAAGUCCUAGAAAAAAUUGUUAAUAUAUAUUUCAUUUUGGUUAAGUGGCUUAACAGUUAAUAUUUAACUAAAAUAACAGAACAGUUUGGCUUAUAGAAAUAUGCUAUGUAAGUGAGUAAGCAUGUAUGAGAGAGACAUAAUAAUAUGUAUGUGUGCAUGUGUGUGUGUGUGCAUAACCAUGAUGGGUUAGUACAUAUUGGGUUAGUAGGGGCUAAUCACAUAGAUAUGGAGUCUAAGUCAGAUACACCUGCAUAAGUUAGUUAAUCCCUUCAAUUAUGAAUUUCUUUACCUACAUAGGGGAAAUAAAAUAUUAAAUGUUAUUCAAUGAGAGAAUAUUUUUAAAAAUUUCAGUAGAGUAUGGCAUACAUUAAGCUUCAUAUACAAUUCAGCUAUUAAACAUUUUGAAUUAUUAUACUAGCAGUUGUAAAGCAAAAAGAGCACACCUUAUUUUAAAUUACUAUUGUUAUUCACAGUGUAGUUUAGAGGAUGGUUUCUAAAAACAUGUUAUUAAUAAUAAAGCAUUUCAUUCUUAUUAAACAUAUAUAAUAUUAUAAAAAAGAAGGGGAAUAUUACAAAUAUAGUUGAAACUGUCUCUGUGAUAGGUAGUGCAACCACUUCUAGAUUCAUGUUUACCAUUUUCUUGCUUUCCAUCACAUUUCAAAGACAUAAAUUAACUCUAAAAAUAUAUUGUUUAUCUUUGUAUAUUUUAUAUCCUUUAUGAUGAGAUCAUAAUAUGAAUCUGAAAAUUAUUCUUUUCCAUGAAAAAUUACCUCCCUGAAGUGGAUUUAUUUUGAUAUAUGCAGCUAGUUCACAUAUUUUCACUAUAUGUGGUUUAAUACAACCUGCACAAAAUGUAUGAAAGGAAAUAAAUGAAACAUUCUCUGAAAAACUUUAUGCAUUUACUUUAAAAACUAAUGACAAAAGGGCUGGGGUUGUGGCACAGUGGCAGAGUGCUUGCCAGGGACAUGUGAGACACUGGGUUCAAUUGUCAGCACCACAUAAAAAUAAAUAAAAUAAAGGUAUUGUGUCCAUUGACAACUAAAAAAUAUUUUUAAAAAACCCUGACAGAAGAAACUUCUUUAAUCCAUUAAAGGCUAGCUACAAAAGCUUAUUAUACAAGUAUGUUAUACAUUAACAACAUUUCCCUGAAAAUCAGUUGAAUAAAAAGGUACUUUCCAUGAGCACCUUUAUUCAAUAUUAUAGUGUAGAGCAUUAUUAGUGACAUAAGAUCAAAAAAGAAAAGACAUAAAACUAGAGAAGAACAAAAAUCAAUGUCAUUAAUAUUUUCAUUCAUAAUCACAGUUCCAGAUAAUUUUUAUCACUUCUUCUUGGUUUUUAUUUCUACAAACCCCUAUUGCACAAAGGGGCUUUUUAAAAAUUAUUUUUCUAAUUCUACCUUUCCCUUAUGUUGGUUUGGAAAUUAUAUAGCCUGUGCCAAUCACUUUGGUUGUAAUCAUUGGGAUUUAAGCAUACAUUUUAAUUCAAUGUUUGAGGCUAGAUAUUUAACCAUGUCUACCUUUGAUCAAUAUAUUUACAUUUCUCUCAAAAUUUGUAAAACCAUACUAAAGCCUUAACUCUGAUUUUUUUCCAUUUCCCUUUAUCCAUUUUUGAGUUGUGUCUAGUGAUUUUCAUAUUCUUUCAUACAUUUUAAUAUUAUCUAUAAUCAGAAUUUGCUUGAAUAUAUUCACACACUUGUUUAUUGCCCACAUUUCAUUCUUCCAAUAAUUUCUUUAUUUGGUUAUUUUCAUUCAUUAUCUAGUAAAGUAUGCAAAUUCUUUUACUUCAGAUACAUUGUAAACUCCCUCCGCUUUUGCUUGUCUGAAAAUGUCUAUUUAACUAUUAUUUCUAAAAUACAGCUUUGCUAGGAACAUGCUUCUGUACUAAAAGCUAUGUUCAAAAUUUAUUUCAGUUUUUUAUGUCUUAGAAAAUCUGCUGUCAGCCUAAUUGUCAUUUUGUGGAUUAUGUCUUUCUUAUCUGGUAGCAUUUAAUGUUUUUUCUCAACUGUUACUAUUGGCAGUUUUACCUUGAAUCAUCCAAGUUUUAUUUCUUUUUAUUAUCUCAUUUGGUAUUUAUCAGAAUUACCAAAUUUAAGACUGGUAUCUUUCAGCAGUUCUAAUCAUUUUUUAAGGCAUUAUCAUAAAUAUUACCUGUUCUGCAUUCCUUUUACUCUCCUUUAUGAAAACCUAAUUUAAAAAUAAUGCCUCAUCUAGUAUAUUGAAAAUAUUACCCUUUCUUAUUUGGUCUCAUCUCUUUAUCUGUUCCUCUUUCUGGAAAACUUAUUCAUAUUGGUCAGCUAAUUUACAAAUAUUUUAUUAAUUUUUUAAUUUGCUAGAAUUUCUAGUUUGUUAGAUUUCUGAGUUAGUCAUUAUUUAAUUUUUAGAAAUUCAGCUGGAUUCUUUCUAAAUUUGUGAUGGUUAUAGUGAUGCUUGUUUAUUCAUGAUGUUUUUCAAAUAUUUGGAAUAUUUUAUUUCUUUUUUAACUUUGUAAGAACGUUGUCUUAUAAUCUGAUUAUUUCAUUAUCUAUAUCUUCUUGUGUAUAUCUGAUUUGUUUUUGCUAAUAUUAUGUCAUUGAACUGUGCUUCUUCAUGUUUAAUAAUUUGAAUUUUUUAUUAGUACAGUUGAUAUUAAAAUAACUGUACAUAUUUAAUAUGCACAAUUUGAUGAGCUUUUACAUAUGCAAACAUAUAAGUACCAUCAUCAUAAUCAGAGUAGUAAACAUAUUUAAGACUUGUCAAUCUUUUUGUAUGCGUGUUUCCUUUUCCUGUGUCUGUUAUUGUGAAACAAACACUAAAAAUAAAAUCUUUUCUCUUAGCAAACUUUUAAUUGUACAAUACUAUAUUGUUAAAUAUAAGCACUGAUUUCUCUAGAAAUUAUUCAACUAGCAUAGUUGUAAUAAUACCUUUUGAAUAAUAGCACUCCAUUUCUCCCACCCCCAAGCACCUAGAAACCACCAUUCUAGCUUCUACUUUUAUGAGUUUGAGUGUUUUAAAUACUUCAUAUAAGAGGAAUCAUGCAAUAUUUGUCCUUCUAUGACUGGUCAAUUUUCACUUGGAAUAAUGUCCUUCAAUUUCAUGCAUACUCUUACAAAUGCAGAAUUUCCGUCUUCUUUAAGACUGAAUAUCAGUCCACUGUGUGGUGUAUGUGUUUGUGUGUGUGUGUGUGUGUGUGUAUUUGCUUUAUUCAUUUGUUGAUGUAUUGUGGUGUUGCUUCUAUAUUUUGAUUAUGUACUGUGAAUAGUUUUGCAAUGACAUUGGAAUUCAGGUGUCUGUGGUUCGGUUCCUUUGAAUAUAAAUCAAGUAGUGAGAUUAUUGAAUCUUAUUGUAGUUCUAUUUUUAAUUUUUGAGGAGUUUUUAUACUGUUUUCCAUAGCUUCUAUACCAUUUUACAUCCGCAUCACAGUGUGUAAGGAUUUUGAUUUAUCCACAAUCUCAUCAACACUUAUUGUCUUUGUAUUUUAAUAAUAUUCAUCCUAACUGAUGUAAAGUUGUAUCUCUUUGUAGUUUUGAUUUGCAUUUUCCAGAUAAUUAUGUCCCUAAUUAUAUUUUAAUGUAUCUGUUGGCUAUUUGCAUGUCUUCUUUGGAGAAAUGUCUUUGAAAAUAUUUGCCCAUUUUUAAUUAGGUUAUUCUUUUUUAAAAUAUUGAGUUGGUAAUUCCUUAACACUUUGAAAAUUAAUCCCUUAUUAGCUAUGUUGUUUCUAAGACAUAGAGUGGUUUUCUCAUUCUGUUGAUCAUUUCCAUGGUUGUGCAGAUACUUUUCAGUUUGUUUUGGUCUCACUUAUCUGUUCUUCUUAUUUUUUUAUUGUAUUGUGGUAUCAUAUCCAAAAAAUUGUUGCCAAGACUAAUGUUAAGAAAGGCUUCUCCUGUGUUUUUUUCUAGAACUUUCAAGUCCCGCAUUUGACUCUUCAAUUUUUAGUUGAUUUUUGUGUAUGGUAUAAGGUAGGGGAACAAUUUCAAUUUUACAUGUAAACAUCCCAUUUUCCCAGAACCCUUUGUUGAAGAGACUGUCUUUUAACAAUUAUGUAGUCAUACCAAACUUAUGAAAGAUCUGUUGUCUACACUGUUUGAGAACUCAUAAUCCUUAAAAUUCAAUCUGUUGGAAUUAUCUAAGGAAUGGGUUAUGGUCUGUUUCUCCAAAUAAAAUUCAUAUUUUUAUCUGGCAACUGCCUAGAAACACUACCCAAUACAGACCAAUUAAAACAGUUCCAUUGUUAUUCCUUUUUUUUUUUUUUUUUUUUUUUUGCUUUUGUUGUUCUGUUUGGCUUAUUUUUAAAAAAUAACUAUAGAAUGAAUCAUACACUCUAAAUGGAAUGGGAACAAAUUAGUUGUUUCAAGAUAAAUUCUUCCCCUUUAUUGUGCUCUGCCAUAGCUAGAUCUGAGACAUUAUGUGCAUUAACAGUUAAACAGAUUUUAUUCCAUUGAAUGAAAUAGUAAUUGCUAUAGAGCUAUUAUUGAUCUAGAGCAAAAUAUUUGAUUUUACAAAUAUUUCUCAUAAAUGUAUGGCACAUAUUUAUGGACAAAACUUCCCAGCAGUGUCCUUACUAACACUUUAAAAAGGAAUUUGCAGAGGAAGAAUUGUGCUUUGUGUAGAAAUGAGCACAAACUUUUUUUAUUACAAAUUUAUUUUCUCUAAAGACUCUCUGUCCUACUCUGGUCUCCCUGUCUGUAGCUCUCAGCUUUAUCAGCUGCAAUUCCUACAUCUCUUCCACUGCCAGAAUUUUUAAUUAAGAAUAAUACAAAAUAUAGAUCUUGUUGGGGUUAUACUGUACACUACAAGUCAUGCAUCAAUGCACUUGUUCUGAACACAUGCUGUUUUUUCAGGUAAUUAUAUUCCUUCAAUUCUGAGAUGACUUGAUAUUAAUAACCAUCAUAAAUUGAUAUCAGCUCUAGGACCUUAAAAAAUUACCUCUUCUUUUCAGUAAACAAAGACAUAUUAGGCUUAAUGUCAAAUUCUGUUAUGGUAAAAAUGUGAAAAACUCAAGUCUUAGAAGAUAAAAUUCUACACAAAUAUGCUGAACAUACUCCCAAGCCUUGGAUUUUAUCUGUUCUUACUAUAGCCUUAUUAUGAGGGGCUUAUUGUUAUAUCUAAUUAGGUGAAUCUUUAAGAAGCAGUUUUCAAUUCUGGAGAUAAGCUUUUUGUUAAAGUCAUUUCCUAUUAAGAGGCUGAGGCUCAGGAAUUUAAUUCUGAGGCUAAAUAGCUGCAAAGUCAGAGCUCCAAUUCCCUCAAUUACACAGGGCAAUCUUCUUUAAUGCAAAAGUCUCCAUGUAAAUAGAAGAGAGAUGAGUGGAAUAGAGGAGGGUAUUAGGGACAGGAAGAAAAGAUGGUGUUCUAGUCAGCUUUUUCCACUCCUGUGACUAAAGGAUCUGACUAGGACACGUAUAGAGGAGGAAAAGUUUAUUUGAGGGAUCACAUUUUCAGAGGUCUUAGUCCAUAGAAGGCCAGCUUCAUUCCUCCACACUCAAGAUGAGGUUGAACAUCAUGGUGGGAGAGUGAUAGAGGGAAGCAGCUCACAUCAUGGUGAUCAGGAAGCGGAGAAACUCCACUCCAAUACAAAUAUAUCUGUAUAUAAUUAAAAGCUACGCCCCAGUUCCCACCUCCUCCAGCCACACCCUACCACUUCAGUUACCACUCAAUUAAUCCCUAUUAAGGGAUUAAAUCACUGAUUGUGUUAAGACUCUUACCACCCAAUCAUUUCUCCCCUGAACCUUCUUGCAUUGUCUCACAUGUGAACUUCUGGGGAACACCACAGCUAAACCAUAACAGAUGGAAAAAGGGAGGAAUAGUGGAAUGAAUCUGACUGAAUUUCCUGUGUACAUAUAUAUGUACCAGGGAUGUACUACAGUGACUUCUGCCAUUAUAUAUAUACCACCUUAAUGGAAUAAUUUAAAAAUAAAAACUGUAAGGGAAGAGAUAUCAGUAGAGCAGAGAAAAGGGAGGGAACAGGGAGAGGGAGGAGGGGAAGUAAAGGGUAAGAAGUGUGGACUAACUAGCAAAUUAUAUAUCAUGCAUGUAAAUUAUCUCCAAAUGGACCCCAAUAUUAUAUUUAAUGAAUAAAAAAAUUAAAAAGAGAAGAAAAAGUUCUUUCUUUCCCCCAAAUCAAGCAAGUUCUUAUUAUUGUGAAAGUAAACAUCUUGUGUAUGGAAACAACAUGGUUUUUGUAAAUGGAACCUUUAUAUGAUAAAAUAUACUUAGAAAUAUAGCCUAUCCUUUAUUUUUAUGCCCUUGUUUAGCCACAAAUAAAUUCAUAUAACAAGUAUUGAAAAUUGGUUUCUAUUUUGAAUAUUUAUCCAAAUAUGUUGGUUUGCAAUUUAGUUUUAUGAUAAUCCCCAAUGUUAGAGCAUAUGCCAUAAAGUACCAAAUAGGGAGAAACUUAUCAAUUUCUGACAAUACAUAUAAUGGGAGCAACAGUCACACAUACAAUUUUCUAGGAUAAUUUUAAAAAGGAAGUCUUACAAAAUCUGCAUGACACACUAAUAUGCAGUCAGCAGUGUAGAGGGAAUAAUUUAAACAUUACAAAAUUUGCAUAUGCAUUAUGCCAGAAACAAAUGAGCAUCUGCAUAUAGUAUAUGUAGGCAAUGUUGUAAGUUUGGGAAAGUUGUAGUUUUAUUUAACAGUAUGAGGUGCUGCUGAGGUUUUAGGGAUGUUGUUAUCUGGCCAGGGAUAGCCAGAAUUUAUGAGGGGCCACUAAGGUUUUAGGGAGGGUUGUUAUCUGGACAAGGAGACAUGGGUUAGUUCAGAGCACAGGCAGGAAUUCAAAACAAAUUUAACCCUCACAGUAUGAUCAGGCCAAAUAGAUUUCUUAGUAUUUUAGAGUUAAACAGAAACAAACUUUUAUAAAUUUAUGAUGAGAUGGCUCCCAAUCUUAGGUUGGAAUUAGGUUGGGUUCAGCAAUACAUGGUAUCAGAAUGGACAUACAAGUAUAUGAGUGCUCAUAAAUUAAGAUUUAAAUAAGAAAUGGAUUCAAAUACCUUCAAUUCAUAUGACUUUAAAAAAGGGAUUUAGUUUAACAACAGAUGAGAGUAAAUAUGUCUUCAAAAUUGCUAACUGAUAAAUUUUUCCAGGUAGUCAGACAAUUAAUAGAGUUUUGGUUUCUAUAAAAUGUCUAGAAUGUAAUAUUCUAUAAUUGUUUUCAACAAGAAAGAGAUGGCUAAUGCUAUUCACUACACUUGUCUAAUAUCUUCCUUUUACAGUUAAAAUUAAAUAAAUUAGCUUCAACAUCAGUGGGAUUAAGCCUCAUAAAUGUAUCUGUUAAGGAGACUUCUGAUAAAGUUACAACAUUAAAUUAUUAAAAUAUCAACUGCUAAAUAAAAAAGCAAAAAUUUCUUAAAAUUACAUAAGGGAAUAUAUUGAAACAUUAUGUGUAUUUUCAUAAAUGGGUAAGUGAAAAAGGUUUGAGAUUGCUUUGUGUCUGUGUCUUCACUAAAACGAGGUUACUAAGAGUCAAGAUUCUGUCAAGUGAAAUUUAUAUACAAAGUGUAUAAGAGGUUUCAGUUAGUCUUCAAUUAAAUUACCAUAAAAACAUAAAAAUAUUUUAUCCCAUUAAAGGGAAGUAAUCUUUCUAAAUCCAGAAAUUUCAUAAGAGGUGUUUCAGAAUGUGAAUUUUAAGAAAGUGUUCAACAGCCAGGAAAGAGAUAGAAGAAGGUUCUAUAUAUGGAUCUAUACUUUAGUAUGGAAAGUAGAAGUUAAAAUAAUGUUUCUGUAUAAGGAAGUUUUUUGUGUGGUAAAAAAUGUCUAAGUAAGUUGCAAAAGGUUUGUGAACAGUAAAUUUUAAGAAGUAUGUAAUUAUAUUGAUUGUAUAUAAUUAACAUAAUUAAUGCAAGAUUUUUCCUUAAGAUCAAAUAUUAAUGUAUUGAUACAAACCAAAGUUUAAUUCUCUAUGGGUUAAAGUAAUAAAGACUUCUUAAACAUUGAUCUGCUCUUAUUUAUCAAGAUAAUUUCUUGUGGUCUUUUAAGUUUUAUUCUUUAGAGGAAAUAGUAUUAAAGGAAUUAGGGUUUCUACAAUUCUGCUUUAUUUUAGAGCAAUACAUUACAUUACUAAGUCAAAAAUUUUCUUUAAAAACGGAACUUGGUUAAUAUAAGGACAUCAGUGUUAUCAUGGGACAAUUACUGCCUUCUUUGUCAUAUCUUCUGGGUAUACAAGUCUUUAAAAUAUAAGGUUUAAAGGAGCAUUUUAUCAAGCUGUUGUUCUUCAUACUAAGGUUUAAAGCAAAGGUUUAAUUUUAAAAAUUGUUUGUUCAUAGCUAUUAUGCCAACUCAAUAUGUUUUUAUUAUUGUUAAUUUCAUUUUGUAUUUCCUUUGUAAAUUCCAUUGUCUGUUAGUGCCUUACAGAAAUACAAUUUUCUAAAACAAUGUGAAUUAAUUUGAGAUAAUAGGUCAUCAUAUAUAGACAGGAUAUAAGGCUAACUUCCAGUACUAAUUCUGACCCCAAUUAAAUAAAAGAGGUUAAGGACUGUUAUAGAUAUAUAUUAAAGUUAAAACCAGUACUCUUACUUUAAGAUGAGUGAAACUGGAUUGCUGAAUGUUUAAGAACAAAACUUGGAGACUAAAGUCAAGGAAAUAAAAGAACCAAAAAGGGGGAGGGGGGGGAGAGAAAAUAGGCAAUAUUUGGCUCUUGCCCUCUGAGUCAGUCUGAACCCAGGGAACAAGGGAACUUUUUUAAAGGCUUUGAAACUCUGGGCCACAUGACCUCCUAAUUAGGGGGAUCUAUGAGUCCAUGGAGGACAGAAUGCUGACCUGUUUACAUGCUGCAAAAGAAAAGGGUUAUUGAUGAAGGGAGCCAUCCCUGAUACUUCCGAAGAAGCCACAUCAUCAAGGAAACCCUAACCCAGCCUGGAAGAGGGCACCAAAAGACCUAAGAGGCUGUUCUCAACUUCCCUAAGAGUAGCCCCUUGAGGAAACUCAGCUGACAUUUAACAAUAGAUAGAAACAAGGUCAUUUGACCACCUUGGUCUUGAACACCUAGAAAAAAAAAAGAGUUAUUACCAAAGUAUAGCCGUACCUGGGCAAUUAAAACAGAAAAAGAUAACAAUUCUUUUAAUAGAAUGUAGGACAUACACUUAAGUCAGCCUCACAGCUCUGAUGCCUCCCAAAUUAUGAGCUUUUUUUUUUUUUUCUUUAUGAAGCUCAUAUGUGCCCCUGCCUACCAAAACAUGAACUGGCCUCUUUUCCUUGGUCUUUCUCCAAUUUACUCCUCAAAUUGAUGUUUUACCUAACAGCCAAAGAUAGCCUAUCCCAAUAAUGACACACACAGACACAAGGGAGCCCUUUGGCUUAUUCCCUUAAUCAUAGGUCUAGAAAUAUGCACUGGGAUUGUCACAGGAGCAGCAAGAUUCGGAACCUCUAUGCACUACCCUAAAAAGUUGUCAGAACAAGUUACUGAGGCCAUCCACUAGGUCACUGAAUCAGUACUGACUUUGUUUACAAAAUCAAUUGGAUUCCCUGGUGUCUGUCAUCCUGCAAAACUGCUGGGGUCUAGAUUUCCUUACUGCCAAACAAUGUGGCUUCUUCCUCUUCCUCAGAGAAGAAUGUUGCUUCCAUCAAUCAGAAGUAGUAAAGGAUAAGGUUAAAUAAUUACACAACCAAUUGAAACAAAGGAAGCUAGAACUGGCUGAUUCCUGAUGAUCCUUAUUGGGGGACAUAAAACAGUGGACUUCCUGGUUAUCCCCCUAGUAACUCCUUUAAUAUUCAUCUUCCUCAUAAUAACAUUUCUUCCCUGUAUCCUUAACUUCAUACAGAGAUAACUUCUUAGUAAAGUGACCCAUUGGACUCAAACUACUUCCCAGGGACACCUCAAAGCCAUUCUCCUGCCUUCAUGAUUGGAUUCCCAGAAACCACAGGAAAAGAUUGCCUGCAGCAACCCUGAAGCCUCUUCCAUAUACAAGACUCUUCCAUAUACACCCCAACUGCCAGUUUCUGUAACCUCUUCCAAGUUUCUGAAAGGAGAUCCUUCUAACUUUAUCCCCUCCUAGCAGGAAGUAGCCAGAUAUGAUGAUGUCACCCCAACUCAUUAUACCCCUUUCAGAGUCUGGAUGAAGGACCAGGAGAAUAGGCCCCAGCACAUUUUCCCUAUCUGCAGCUAUUCCCCCACCCACCUUCCUGCCAGGUGUGCACAUGGAGAUAUCUGUGGUAAAUUGGAGCUUUUGUCAUUUAGAAGGCCAGGCCUCAGCCAGAGGGAAGGCAAGAAGGGAACCCUGGAGGACAUAAAAGAAACUCACACCUCACUCCCACCUGACUGAUUUGGCUGACCCUAGUACAUAGGACCCUAAAUGAGCCCACCCAAAAUGGCUGAGCAACUCUUCCAAUGAACUAGUCCUGCUAGACCCUAUACAACUCAGACCCUUUGUGAGGAUGACUUUAGGCCUGAACCUAAGCAACUUCAUUUUAAAAACUCCAAUUUGAAACCUGCAGUCUCACCAGGCACAUCUAACAGAGCCCUCUAGUAUCGCCCUCAGACAAGUCAUUUCACCUCACCCUGAUAAACAAAGUGAAGCCUCUGGUAGGCUGCCCUGGCCUGAUAAGAGGGAAAGGUGAGAAGAUCAGGGUGGAGACCACCAGACCAGAUGUUUCAGACCCAAGGGUAAAUGAUUUUAUGGAGAAAUCCAGGGGUCGCUGAUAAGGAUUGAAAUGGGGGGUCAAAAGCCCCCAAAUUUAGUAUAAAUAAUAGAGUUAAUGAACAGGGAUUCAGCCAGCUGAAACAAGAAUGCACUCGAGCUGGAGAGCCUAAUGAGGACCUGGACUGACAUUCUACCACUGGUCAUCCUUUUCCUGAUCCUCUGCAUGAUCUUCACCGCUCUCAAACUCUACUGCCUCCUCUGGACCCUGGUGAGAGCUGCAACUGCUCCCUUUGACCCUCUCCUCAACAGGUCGUCCACUCCACACCAGGAAAUACCUGCCUUAGAUCCGGACCUGAUCACCACAGUCUGAGUAAAUGUGCAUCUUCUGGAUGUAAAGCCUAAGGCUUAAGACUUUUGAACUUAGCAUGCAAAGGGAAUGUCUGUCAUUAGCUUGUCAUGAUUAAAUGUGUUUUCAGUGUUUAGAAUUAAUCUAGAAUUGUUUGCUGUGAAUUGUUUAUGUCCAUUGUAGUGCCUAGCAUUAAGGAUUGUCAUUUUCUUGAGUAAGAACCUAUAAAGUGAAAUUGUAUUGAGUGUUUUGAGUGAAUAAAGCAUUGAAAAGGACAGAAGCACAUGGACAUUCUUUAUUUCUCCCCCUUGACUGCUUACGUCACAAUUUUGUCUCACCACGACACACUUGUUGUAGCCCUU